UAAUCUCUCUGAAUCGAUCGAAUCAACCUUCUUCAGCCCCAUUUGAUCUAAUCUCAGAGCGAUUGGUGAUUCAUCUCCGAUCCAAUCUCAGAGCGAUUGGCAAUUUCGAUUUUGAGAUUUUGAAGCUCCACCGCCUCCACCAUCUGCACUGGCGAGGGGAGCGAGCACCAUCAUCUACUAAGAGCCAUGUGCGGCAAUUCUGUUUGGCGUUCACUUCAAUGUAAUUGUAAUUUAAAGCUUCAAUUUGUUGCUCUCUCUUUCUCUCUCUAUCUGUACCCAUUUGGCGUUGUCUGUUGCGUCCAAGUCACAGCAACCUCUUGAUUUGCCUUUUGGUCUGAAGUUUAUUUUGGACGCAUUCUUGUGAUUUCAACAUUUCAUUUUAUCAAAUUUGUCACAAUUUCAUCCAAAAUUAUAAUCAAUAUCCUUAAAACAAAUAUGAUCAUAUAAUUGUGGUGAUGAUCUGACAGAGGUGCGAGUGGAUUAUGCUCUUCUAUGGUCUGUGGAUUCGGCUGCAUUCAAGGUUCCAAAUGCAUAAGAACCACGCACUGUGACAAAGGUACUAAGGUAAACCAUCCAAUCAUGCUCCGUAGAACUACUUUUGUGGCUCUGAUCUUUGGGACCAUAGCCAUCUUCUUCAUCAGCUCGAGUCUUGUCUUCUAGUAUAAGUGGCUCCCUUAUCUCUUCUUGCAAGCUGUUCUCACCUUGCUCCAAAAAUUAGAGAAUUCAAAUUUAUGGUCAAGAAUUUAAUGGAGAAUGCUAACAAAAGGUAGGCCUUUCAACUCAAUUUUUUCAUUCUAUACUCAUGCUUCCCUAAUGUGACAGAAAGCAGAUUGGGCAAAUUUCUAGAUCUGUAGGGUGGCUGGGGCAAACUUGAUUUUGUUCUGUGAUGAAAGCCAGGAUGCACCACACUAUGAAGUCCUUGCCAAGUUUGUUUUUCAAUUCUUGUUGUAAUGAAAGUUCUAAAUUUAUCACAGCAUUUUUAGUUUUGCAAUGUUGGGAGGUGUUAAGAUGUCUUGAUAUCCAUUAUGAUGGUUUCCUAAUCAUGGACGCAACCUGAAUAUUCCCAUGGAAAGAACUAUUGAGAAGCUUAUAAUUUAUUGUUUGCACCUUAUAGGAAUAUUUAGAUGCUAUGUAACAUUUGAAAAAUGCAGUACAAUCUCUUAACGGCUUUUAACUGUUAAGACCUACAUUUUUUACUCACUGUUAAUUUUAUUUCUUUCUCAGUUUUUUCUUUCCUUUUUUCGGGUGGGAUGAGAGGUUUUAAGAGUUUUUUUAUAUUCAUUAUUUUGGUUUUCUAAUCAUAGAGGCAACCUGAAUACUCCCAUCCCAUGGAAAAGAACUAUUGAGAAGCUUAUAAUUUCUUGCUUGCAUCUUAUAGGAAUAUUGUAGAUGCUAUGCUGGUGGACUGUUUGUUGUGUACUUUGCUCUGCUGCAACAGGUAGCAGCAUAAGAGAUAUUCAGUUGAUUGCAUGACCUUUCAUCCUCUAUAUUUGAUCCUCGCUGUCAACUUUUGCUUAUGCAUAUCUCAGUGACUAUUUUUUUGAAGUGAUUCACUUAUUCUUUUGAACAGGUUCCUCUUACUAAUGAAUUCAUUACUAAUGGUGCUCCUCUUGCCAGGUUACAUAUCCAACAUCUCGUCAACAUGCCACUUGGUCCUUGGAUGACUUGCCAAGAACAGUAGCUUGUACCAUGCAUCAAGGAUCUGCUGUUAACAGCAUGGAUUUUCAUCCUUCUCAUCACACAUUGCUUCUUGUUGGUUUUGCUACUGGUGAAAUAACGCUCUGGGAAGUGGGGAUGCGAUAUAAAUUGGUUUCAAAGCCAUUCAAGAUAUGGGACAUGGCAAAUUGUUAUAUGCUGCUUCAGGUUCCUUUUCUUCCUUUUCUUUCCUUGUUGCUUGUUAUCUUAGCAUUCUAUGAUGUGAUAUAUACCUAUGAUAUGAGAUAUCUAUGGAGGUUGUAAACAGCAUGUACAAAUUAAUUGUGACCAGAUUAUUUCUUGUUUGAUUUGGGGACAUUUAUAAUACUAAUCUUCAACUA